UUAACCCUUUGCCUGCCUGCCUGCCAACUUCAAAACUCAGCACCACACUUCAAACUUGGCAUGGCAUUCUAGGGGAGGCAGCAAUCUCCCGCCCUGCACAGCUAGGCCCAAGAUGCAGGGGAGGGAAAAGGCAGAAGCUGAACUACCUGGCCUAUUCCACCUGCUGCUCUUUCCCCUGGAGCAUCCCCCGGAGAGUGCCUCGGAAAGGUAGCAAGUGACACCGGCUGGUGCAAUAUUACAUCACAAACAGUUCCACCUGUUGGUUGGCCUUGGGAGAGAGAUGAAAACCCCUUCGGCUUUGAAGAAUGCUCAUACGGCACAGCUAUUGGCUCCAGCGAUGAAGAUGUUGCAAAGUGAGCAGCAGUGGGAUUUCAAAGAAGUUUGAAACGUGGUGAAAUUUGCAAAUCUGUAGUUUGGUGUGCUUGGCAAACCACACUGAUAAUUCUUCGUGUCCCUCAGUAUGAUUGAUUGAAAAUGACACUCCUUGCGUUUAUGAGGGAUAGAUGAGCAAUUCGAUAUCUGAGUUUCAAACGCCUGCAAUCAAGUGCCUUUCUCAAUCCUUCUAGCACUCUCAUGGGAUGCCCUGCAGUUAGAGGUCUCCAUUUAUUUUGGAAAGAAUGAAAAACCGGUCUGAAUCGGGCCCAUUCAGGUCCUUUUGUAUAUCUACCAGUUUAUUCAGAAACUCAUUUGUUUUACCAUAGCACCAGUUCUUUUUAAAAAUAAAAUUAAUA